rnacentral:rRNA from 1 species
UACGAAGGGGGCUAGCGUUGCUCGGAAUUACUGGGCGUAAAGCGCACGUAGGCGGGUUCUUAAGUCGGUGGUGAAAUCCUGGAGCUCAACUCCAGAACUGCCUUCGAAACUGGGAACUCUUGAGUCCGGGAGAGGUGAGUGGAACUGCGAGUGUAGAGGUGAAAUUCGUAGAUAUUCGCAAGAACACCAGUGGCGAAGGCGGACUCACUGGCCCGGUACUGACGCUGAGGUGCGAAAGCGUGGGGAGCAACAGGAUUAAGAAACCCAGUACGUCACGA